GCCUUCGGGCAGCGUAGACAGGUGCUGCAUGGCUGUCGUCAGCUCGUGUCGUGAGAUGUUGGGUUAAGUCCCGCAACGAGCGCAACCCGUGUUGCUAGUUACAAGUGUCUAGCGAGACUGCCGGUAACAAGCCGGAGGAAGGUGCGGAUGAUGUCAAGUCAGCAUGGCCUAUAUGUCCAGGGCUACACACACGCUACAAUGGCUGGUACAAAGAGAAGCGAAAGGGAGACCUGAAGCGAAUCUCAUCAAAGCCAGUCAUAGUUCGGAUUGCAGGCUGCAACUCGCCUGCAUGAAGUCGGAGUUGCUAGUAACCGCAGGUCAGCAAUACUGCGGUGAAUACGUUCCCGGGCCUUGUACACAC
rnacentral:rRNA from 1 species